rnacentral:rRNA from 1 species
ACAACUAAUGCUGGUGAUGAGCAUUUGGAGAGCUACCGGACAUUGGGUUUGACAGUAUCGCGGUCAAAGAAAGGGGAUACGAAGUUUCCAAAGGUCUUGUCGCUUCUUGCCACAUAUCUGGGCAGAUCAGUUCAGAAGAGUGAAGAAUUACUAGGUUCUGAUGGAAUAAAGGAGUCGUCCACUAUCUUUCAUGGCCAGAGGGUGCCAGAUCCCAGUAUACAGCUCUAUGCAGAACGCAUUUUCAAGUAUGCUGAGUGCAGUCCAUCCUGCUUUGUGUUGGCACUUGUCUACAUGGUGAGACAUCUACAUCAGCCAAAUGUGUACAUGACGCCCUUCAGUGUUCAUCGCUUACUAAUUACAAGUGUGGUGGUUGAUGCCAAAUUCACAGAUGAUGCGUUUUUCAACAACGCAUUAUAUGCUAGGGUGGGAGGAAUCAACACAAUCGAGAUGAAUCGUCUCGAGCUGGAUUUGUUGUUUAAUCUGGACUUCGGGUUGAAAGUGAACCUAGAGACUUUUGGGAGCUACUACUUGCAACUGGAGAAACAUGCACCGGUGUCACCAGAGAGACUGCCGGUUUGA